rnacentral:rRNA from 1 species
GUGUCAGCAGCCGCGGUAAUACGGAAGGUGCAAGCGUUAGUCGGAAUUACUGGGCGUAAAGGGUGCGUAGGCGGGAAUGUACGUCAGAUGUGAAAUGCUGGGGCUCAACCUCAGCGCGGCAUCUGAAACGGCAUUUCUUGAGGACCAGCGGAGAGAAUGGAAUUCCAUGUGUAGCGGUGAAAUGCGUAGAUAUAUGGAAGAACACCUGUAGCGAAAGCGAUUCUCUAGCUUAAUCCUGACGCUGAGGCACGAGAGCAAGGGGAGCAAACAGGAUUAGAUACCCUGGUAGUCCUUGCCGUAAACGAUGAACACUUGAUGUAGUUGGGCUCAACCCUGACUGUGUCGUAGCUAACGCGAUAAGUGUUCCGCCUGGGGAGUACGCUCGCAAGGGUGAA